rnacentral:lncRNA from 1 species
UAGAAUUUUGAACGUCUUAUAACUAGUUAUAAGGGUUAAAUUAAAUUCAUUGAUUUUGAUGAAUAACUUAAAUUUAUUUUUGUACUAAUGAUACUUAUUAAGUUUUUAAGCUAGUAAGCGCUAAUCAAGAUGGUAAAAACAAAUUCUAAAAGGUUAUAAAAGCAUCAACAAGAAGAGAAACAAAUUAAAAAUCAAGAAUAAUUUUUUUUUCUUAGAUUUGUUUUAUGUUUUAUGUAAAUCAUGUAACUCCUGGCUGGUAGCCCAAAAUAGUUUCUUUUU